UUGGUGGGGAUCCCAUAGUUGGGGCCUGUC
rnacentral:piRNA from 1 species